AACGCCUAGGAAUCUGCCUGGUAGUGGGGGAUAACGUUCGGAAACGGACGCUAAUACCGCAUACGUCCUACGGGAGAAAGCAGGGGACCUUCGGGCCUUGCGCUAUCAGAUGAGCCUAGGUCGGAUUAGCUAGUUGGUGAGGUAAUGGCUCACCAAGGCGACGAUCCGUAACUGGUCUGAGAGGAUGAUCAGUCACACUGGAACUGAGACACGGUCCAGACUCCUACGGGAGGCAGCAGUGGGGAAUAUUGGACAAUGGGCGAAAGCCUGAUCCAGCCAUGCCGCGUGUGUGAAGAAGGUCUUCGGAUUGUAAAGCACUUUAAGUUGGGAGGAAGGGUUGUAGAUUAAUACUCUGCAAUUUUGACGUUACCGACAGAAUAAGCACCGGCUAACUCUGUGCCAGCAGCCGCGGUAAUACAGAGGGUGCAAGCGUUAAUCGGAAUUACUGGGCGUAAAGCGCGCGUAGGUGGUUUGUUAAGUUGGAUGUGAAAUCCCCGGGCUCAACCUGGGAACUGCAUUCAAAACUGACUGACUAGAGUAUGGUAGAGGGUGGUGGAAUUUCCUGUGUAGCGGUGAAAUGCGUAGAUAUAGGAAGG
rnacentral:rRNA from 1 species